rnacentral:misc_RNA from 1 species
AAGUUCAAAGUCUUUCGCAUCCAACAACAUAUCGAGCCGAUCAACCAAACGUUGGUUAGCUCUUGUUUGAUCCACUCCUUGUGAAAUUAUAUCUCAGAUUUUGAGAUGUCCAAUGUGAUUGGGAGUGUGAGUUUCAUUUGUUUGAUAGUUUUUAUAAGUAGAGUUACAUGCUACGAAGUGCCAUCAGCAAUAAUAGAAGUUGUGCAUCCCAAGGGAUUCAGGGCAUCAAUUCCAGGUGAAAAAGGCUUAACACUUUUCGCCUUCCAUGGAAGGAUAAACGAGGAAUUUGAACAGACAGACGAGGGACAAUUCUCAGCUGACGUGCUGGGACCGGACCCAAUCGGAUUCUGGACCUACACCAACCGCGAAGUCCAUUUGAAAAUUGGUGACGUCAUUCAUUACUGGAUUUAUGUUGUGAAGGAUGGAGUCGAAUAUGAAAGGGUAUCCCUAUCCUAUGAAGUGAAAGAUAACAAGACAUGUGAUCCCGCAGCUGAGUUUCGCUGCUUGAACGACAAGUGUAUACCGAGAAUAUGGUUGUGCAAUUUUGAUGAUGAUUGUGGGGAUAACUCGGAUGAACCAGCUUACGCUUGCGGUCGUCGAAGAUGCCGCUAUGGUUGGCUACGAUGCCCAGGACUCAACAAUUACAGAUGCAUACCGAAAUGGUUAUUCUGCGAUGGCAAAGACGACUGCAAAGACAACAGUGAUGAGCUGACCGAAAACUGUACCACACUCAACCAGAAUAAGAUGCAGGAAAGUGCACAUAAUAGCACUGGUAUUGAAAAGUGAUUGAUAAUUAUACUCUGUACAAAAUCACUUCUUACUUGGGUGAGACAUGCGCAGCAGAGAAGGCAUUCAGAGGUAGGGAUACAAUGGCUGCGAAGUUGCCGUUCUAACCGGCCAGCAUUCCUCUAAUUUCUCGUGAGUAUUAAGCGCUCAUGUUAAACUUACGGAGUUUCCUGUCUGGAAUCCUCCAGUCGACUGACUUUAAUCGACAAAUUGGCAACUGCGCUUCUACCUAUUACUCUAUCCAUCACUGUAAUUGACUGAUCUCCCUCCAUUUCUCUGCGCCGCAUAUUCCUCCAAGUCAGAAGUUAAUUUGUACGGAGUAUAGAUUGUAUUCAUGUAACAGAAAAUAUUGUAGUGUAAUCAGUGAAACAAGUUAUUCGCAACGUUAUAAGAAAACUCAUUACAAUAUUCUACCAGAAAGAAACCACAUACUUCAACGUAACAAUACAAACAAUAUUCCAAUUUGAAGCAAAUGAGUUAUAGUGAGAUACAAGUUAUAAUGACAGUAUUUAAUGUUGACAACAUUUGUGUUGCUAUCCUUGUUUAUCAUUCGACAAAGCCGAUAGCACUCAGUUCUAGCUAUGUAACGUUGCCAGAUCAUUUUUUUGUAAUUAGAUUUAUAAUUAAUUUGAAAAAAAAUUAAUCUCAAUUUUAUGGAAAUUUAUUAUUUGAUCAUUAAAAAAUUUUCUUGACUAAAAAAAUAUAAAUGGAAAUUAAACUCAGCUGUGUAUGCAAUGUCCAGGCUCAGGAGGGUAUUAGUUCAUGAGGCAGUGAUCUCUGCUUACUAUGGAUAUUAUGAAUCAUUACUGUAUUAUGGUAUAUUGCCGUGGGGAGGAUCAAGAUUUUCUGCCUCUAUCUUCCGUGCCCCAAAGAAUCAUAUUUAAAAAGCCACCCCGUUUCUCGUGUAGAUCGCUAUUCAAAGAUAAUAGAAUUUCGACGGUUCCUAGUCUCUAUUUGAACCAUCUGGCAAUCAUUGCUUAUAAAAUGAAAGAUGAUUGGCUGACAGGUGUGGAUGUUCAUCAACACAAUACAAGAUACAGGGGCUUAGUCAGUGUUGAACAGCACAGGACAGGGUUUUAUGAGCACAUUUUAUUUUAGCGUAUGGCCCUACGACACAAAUCUUUAUGUUAUCUAACAUAAGUCAAACAUAUAGACAAUGAAGUCAUCUUAGUCACAAGUUUGAAAAAAGGUGGAACACAAAUUGAAAAAAAAAAAUUUAAAAGUUAUAAACAUAUAUUAUCUAGUCGAUUUAAAUAUGCCACUGCAUCUGGUGUAGCUACCAGGAAGUCAUCCAGCCUGCCCUCAUAAGCUGUUCUUGUGCACUCUUCUACAAUGUGUCUUAUGGUUUGCACAGCGCCACACUCACAAAAAGGCGUUGGAGCCUUUCCCCACUUGUGCAAGGGGGGGUGUAAUGUUAGUUCGCCUCCUCGUGGUGCACCCUGGAUAACGCUAAAUGAGCUAACGCCUACAACUGGCGGUCAGACAAACGAUUGUUCUCCUGACCAUACACGACACAACUCUACUUUUUUUUAUGAGCACAACCCAAAUUACAUUGGCAAAAAAGUGUUUAACUGUUUACCCCAGAAUAUAAAAGCUGCCCAAACCCUAAACUCUUUCAAGUCUAAUCUAAAAUGUUGGCUAUUGAAAUGUUUUUAUGAGUGGCGAAGUAUCUUCGACCAUUGAAUACGUUACAUUAGUUAUAAAUGUUGUAUGGCCUUAGAUAUUAUAAGUUAUUGUGUUAUGAUGUACAAAAUUGUUCUAUUAUGUACAAAAUUAUUGUGUUUUGUGUAUCAAUAUCUUGUUUUCUCUCUUAUUUUAUGACUAUUGUCGAAAUGGUGCUUGUCACUAUCCAUGACAGUAUAAUAAACCAAUAAACAAAGAAA